CCAGUGUCUCCUGCUGAUUUGGGGGAACACAAUCAAAUCUGCUGUCUGUGCAAAACCAUAAUGGCAAAGCCACAUAUGACCAAGGUGGAGAGCACAUGUUCAAACACAUGGUCACGUGGAAGGUGAGGAACUUCAUAUUCAAGUCAUAACAUCCGGUCCUCAGCCCUGGCCUUGAAAGAGGCAAUGGAUGAAGUCUAGUAGAGACGGACGGGGAGGACUGCCUGGCCCCAUGGCUGACCAAGAUCAUGACCAUGGAAACACAGAACUACCUGGGAGACACAGAGACUGAAUCUAACGACAACUCUACACUCAUGGUAUGAGCUUCGAUACAAGGGUGCGAAGGAGGAGACUUUGAUUUCAGCCUGUUUGCCUUCACUCCUGCUGUCAAGUUCACCUCUCCUGUUGCUGUGGCAUUCUUUUAUUGAUAUGAAAACCACUCCGUUGCGAUUCCAAUGUAGACCGAAGACCACCAGCUCUCUAGGAUUCUUCAGGCUUUCAGCACCAGAUUGAAACUGCUGAGACAGCUAGCCUUGAGCUGAACAAUUACAUUCUCCGCUUUUCUAGCAUGAGACAGCCAUUGUUGGACUUCCCAGCCUUCGUCCUGUAAACCAUAUACGAGUGUGUGUGUGUGUGUGUGUGUGUGUGUGUGUGUGUGUGUGUGUGAUAUGUCUUUAUUCUAUUGGUUCCAUCCCUUUAGAGAGCCCUGACUAACACACAGGCACACGGUUUCUGAAGUUCGAGUUCCCCAGCACACUGAGUUGCUCCUUUGGCGGACAGGGAGCAUUACAAGGCGCAGGGGCUGCCUUCAGCCCAGCAUCUCCUCCUCAUACUCACUGAUCACAGUGUUCAGGUGUCAUGGUAUUUACCAAAGGUUUGCAGAGAAAGUCAUUACGCUGCCAGCAGCUGCAAGUCUGUUCUUAAGGACAGCAAAGCCGGUGGGUGCCUUCUUUCCACUCUGAAAUUCUGUGACCUGAUCUGAUCUGGAUUGUGAGUUGAGAGAUACAGUGUUGUAACUGGUAUAACACACCCCUGCGUGUCAGCCUGGGCGUUUCUGAGGGCUCUGACCCAAUCAAUGGCUUAAUCCAUUAGCGGAUUCAAACUGUGAGUAGACCGUUGUGGUGGGGAUGGGGGUGGAGGGCAGUGAUACAGGAAGGUGGGGACGACUUGGAGGAAGUGGCUCCCUAGAGCUUGUCUUACUGACUGUGUCCUGCCCUGGGUCCUUCUUGUCUUACACCACUCCCGUGUGGCUGCCCAGAGUAGACUCUACUACAUUGCGUCUUUCUGCCUGAGCAAGGAACCUUUGGAAACCAUGGGCAAAAGAGGUCCCUUAGGUUUGGUCAAAGAUGAUUGACAGAGUGUCCAUAUCACGUGGUCAUCUCCAUGGACCAGAGAUGGGAGGGCAAGUCCAGGAAGAGAGGGACAGGGCCUGGGAGUCGAGUCAACUAGACACAUGAGUCCUGGUCGACCUUGCAGCCCAAGGAGACAGGAGUAAGCUAAUUCCACGGAGGUGGAGAAAAUAAACCAGGGCAAUGUGAGAACGUGAUCUGGAGGGUACGGGGACUUGGAUUAUCUCGGGUUGGACAGGACCAUUUGAGGAGGGUCCUUGAGCUAAGACUGUGCAGACAUCUUGAGUAAAGUUCCAGGUCAAAGACUGGGCUGGGCACAGGGGCCCUCAGUAUCUGCAGAGUAGGGCUGAGGUCUGGAGUAGGGCUCAUGGCAAGAAAUUUGGCUUGGGGAGGGCAGCUGGCGGCGUAGGGAUGGCAGAGUUUCAUCAAGAGUAGGACGUCUAUCCCUGCAGCAGGGGGAGGGGUGUGGUUCAAGAAGAGGAUGACUGGCUCUGAUUGGCGGCUUUUAGUUUCUUUUAAAGAUUUAUUUGUAAAUUACGUGUAAGCAUGCUUGUCUCUGUGUGGAUUGAUGCGCAUGCGUGCAGGCGUGAGGCGGUCAGCAGAGGGCAUCCGAUCCGCUGACGUUAGAAUUACAGGCGUUUGUGAGCUGCCAGAUGUGGGUGCUGGGAAGCAAACUUAGGGCCUCUGCAAGAGCAGUAAGUGCUCUUAACUACUGAGCCAUCUUUCCGGCCCCCUGGUUUGCGCUUUUUCUUCUUUUGCUUAAAAGUCAAGGUGGCAAACUCUAAUGGCACAGGACUGUAAUCCAACUAUGCAGGAAUGGGAAAUAGGUGAGCUGCAAACUCAAGGACAGCCCAGACUUCAGAGCAAGUUCAAGGCCAGCGAAGGAGGAUAGUGAGACCCUCUCUUAAACUAAAUUUUUAAAAGGGGCGUGGGCUGCGGCAGCAGCUGAGUGGUGGAGUGUCUCCCCAGUGUGUGUGCUUUCCAUCCUCAGUACUGGGAAAAGAAAAAAAAGAGCUACAAAAUGUAUUCGGGGACAUGUAAAUGCACAUGUCUUAGUAGAUAGACAUCUUGAAGAGUAAUCACACACAUAUACACGACUGGUAUCAGGUCAACAUAUAGGACAUUUCCAACAUCUAGGUACUAAGGUUUCUAGCAGCGCCCCCUGGCUGUGCUGAGGAGAAACAUCAUGGGACUGAGGCCUGGACAGGAGAUUGCCCAUGGCUGGGCUUGACUAUGGUGAGGCCUGGACAGGAGGCCACCCAUGGUUGGGCUUGACUAUGGUGAGGCCUGGACAGGAGGCCACCCAUGGUUGGGCUUGACUAUGGUGAGGCCUGGACAGGAGACCGCCCAUGGCUGGGCUUGACAAUGGUGACUUUCUGGCUUGAGAGACUGUCUGCUGAGAGCCAGUCAGAGUUGCUGAUGUGCAAAGAUGGGUGAGAUCAAAGAAUUCUGCAUGGUCUGGGCUUUAAAAAUGGGGUGGGCUGCUCGCCGUGGGUGAGGACGUAGAUUAGCCCAACCCUUAGAGAACAAUGCAGAGGGUCCCGAGCAAAUGGCAUGACCUCGCAUUGCCACUCCUAGGUUGGCGCUGAGCUGACAGACCUUGGUAGGCUGUUGUGGAGAAUUCGCUGUGGCUAAGACACAAGUCAAGACUGGCAUCCAUCAGCAAGUGAAUGGAUUAAGAGAAAGUUGUCCCUAUGAGCAGCAGGACACUAGCCAGACUUAAAAGCACUUGGGAGGCAGAGGCAGAAGGAUCUCUGAGUUUGAGGCCAGCCUGGUCUACAGAGAGAUGCAAGGAGAUUUGCUUAACAAGGGCUCAUGGCACAGCGGGCAUUCACCAUGUAUCAUCAGGCCCUGUGGAUGCACGCUCAGGACUUAGCUCAGUACCAGCCACAUAGGGAGUUCAAUCCUGAGCAGCUGCAGCCCUAGAAAACAGAGGGCUCUGGCCAAUUUCACCCUCCUGGAUUCUCAGGCUCCUGGACCAGCAUCUGCAGCCUUCUCCCCACAGCCCACAAUCCCAGUCCAUUCAUGAUCAGAACAUCAGACAUAUUCCAGUGGAGGGACAUUCUGCAGAACACCUGUCCAGCACUUCUGCCAAGCAUCUGGUCAAGGCCAGAGACGCUGCAAGAAGGGAGCAAACACUGUGGUUCUGUGCAGGUGGCAGCCACUCUCGAUGUCCUCCAGAGACCAUCUGGCACCAAAGGGCAAGGAUCCAAUGGUCUUUAAGGAAACGCCACCAAUUAGAGACCAAAGGCCCAAGACUCCAACUCACGGGGACUCACGGAGCCUUCCUGAACCAGCCACAGUCCCGGGGUCUUCCACUUGGGGGCGUUGCCAUCUGUCUUGUAUGGGAGGCUCACCAGAAGCCAUGCUCUUGCUGCUACAGCCUCAUCAAUAGUGUGGACGCUGAAAAGAAGAGGGGUGCCCAUUACCAGAACAUGUGUCUCUCUGUCUGCGAGGGGCAUGCCCAUCACUUACACAAACUCACUUCCAAGACACUGGGGCAGGCAGCAUUUAAAAAAAAAAAAUUGCAAGACGGCCAUUAUCAUCAUUAGCCCACCUGAGAAAGUGCACAGGAUGAUGGAAGAGGUCCUCGCCAUCCGCCAGCCUCCUCUGCGGCGGGUCAUUAGUUAAAAGGGGUGGGGGUGGGGCAGGGUGCCAGGUCUGGACCACAGUGCUCCCUUUGGAGAAAGGAGCCAGAGACAAAUGAUUCGAGUCUGAAUUCCAUAUACACCGGAGAUUGCUUAUCGAUCCCCAUCAGAAUAUGCGGCUGGCCCCGGGGACGACUGGGAUUUUCUCAGGGAGUUAAUAACGUGGCAGCCGAGCUGUCUUGUCCAAUUCACUGAAGCCAGGCCUCUAAUCAGCCCCGAGUUUCUUAUUUUGAGAAUUCUUGCCACUUGUGCGUGCGGCACCCCUUCCAGUCUGCUGGGCCCUGCCAGUGAUUGAAAUGACAGCCCACGGAUGGGGAGGCUAAUCAAAUUGUUUAUUAUCGACCUAAAUCAAUACGUAUAGAUUGUCGAAACAUUACUGUCACACUGCCAAAAAGUCAUACUAAUAAUUCCAGGCCAGCAGAUGGAAUCCAGCCACCAUCUCUUGGACAUGAAUUACAUCUAAAUUUAGGGGAACGAAACAAUUAAAAUGGGAAGGGGCUUUCAGUGACGGGGUGGGCAGGACCCUGAGUGGGCAUGCAUUCUGACAGAACUCAAGGGCUCUGUGUUAGGUAUGAAUGUCAAAAUGUCACUUUGAGCGGUUCAAAUAUGGGUCCUCCGCUAGGGAGAGAGUCAAAAGUCCUCAAGAACUGCAGGAGGGAGCCAUGUGAAGAUGUGAGGGUGUGAUUUGCAGGGAAAGAUUGGGACUUGGAGGAUCGGGUGGGGCCCCAGGGAGGCUGAGAUUUUGGUAGCCUGGAUACAAGCUCUUGUUUACCUAAGAGGGUGUACUUCCUUCCUAGGCUCAGUGACCAGACACGAUCUUCCCCUUUUCAGAGAACGGGUUGGGCAUGAAGAGGAGGAGGGUCUCACUGUCUGAAAGACACAGUAGCUACAGGCACCUCAGUUGCAGCGGCUCUAGAACCAGCAACGUCUGCGCCAAUGCAAGUCUCCUUAGGACUUAGAAAGGGCAUCGGUGUGAGCCAGCUUUUCUUGGCUGUAGCAAGCAGCAUAGCCAAGCAGCUUACAAAGAAAAAGGGUUUUCCUCUGAUCAGUUUCAGAGGUUUUCUUCUGAUCAGUUUCUCAUCCAUAACUGUGUUGCUUUGGGUGAGGUGGUACUCACGAAGGAGCAUGUUGUGAGGCAAAUAGUCCCUCAUUUUAGGGCCAAGGAGUGAAAGAGAGGAAGGAAAGUUUUAAGGACAUGCUCCCAAUAACCUAAAGACCUCCCACCAAGCCUUAUUUCCCAAAUGUUCCACCACCUUCCUAUAGGGCCAUCUUGGAUCCAAACUUUCAAUACAUGGUCUGUUGGGGACAUUUAGCAUCCAAACUACAGCAGGGCUUCUCUAGAUAGACAGGUUAGAAAAUAUCCCUGUUCUGGACACUCUGUUGCAGUUGCCUGGCUUAGCCAAGGGAGCUUUGUGGGUUUCUGUCCCUGACCUGGGAACUGGCACCUUCGUGAACACUAUAUGAAGACAAAUACAAGGCUUGUCCUGGAGUAUCUGUGGACUCUAGGGGAGCAUGCUAAUUCUUCACCAUAGCCUCAUGAGCUGAUCUACUACAGAUGAAGAAACAGGAGCAUCUUGGAGUUGAGUAAUUUGCCCAAGGUCAUGGCUGUAAGAAACGGCACUGGACUCUCAGCUCUGAGUCUGGUUUCCUGGCCAGGAUGCAUGGAAUCAGGUCUGGCUGAGGAAGAGAUUGCUCCAGAGGCAAUGCUGGGACAAAACAUCUUAGAGACGCGUGACUCAACUCAGUCAAAAAGGCUCAGAGUCAGCACUUGAGUCUUCAGCCUUGGCCUUUCAAGAUGAAGAAUUCAUCCAGCAGGCACUAUCACUGCCCAGCUUCCUAGAGAUGCCAUCCCCACUGCCCAGCUUCCUACAGAUGUGAUCAUCACUGCCCAGCUUC